rnacentral:rRNA from 1 species
UACGUAGGGUGCAAGCGUUGUCCGGAAUUACUGGGCGUAAAGAGUUCGUAGGCGGUUUGUCGCGUCGUUUGUGAAAACCAGCAGCUCAACUGCUGGCUUGCAGGCGAUACGGGCAGACUUGAGUACUGCAGGGGAGACUGGAAUUCCUGGUGUAGCGGUGAAAUGCGCAGAUAUCAGGAGGAACACCGGUGGCGAAGGCAGGUCUCUGGGCAGUAACUGACGCUGAGGAACGAAAGCGUGGGUAGCGAACAGG